UGGUUGAAUAUUUAAGUUCUUCAAAAUCUAUGUAAUAAUGAAGACAGUAUAUCCAUCCAAGUGAACAAUUGCUUCAUGGGGAGCCUGUAGGUCUCAAAUUAGUUAAUUCCUGGACUUUCAAUUGUUGUUUAAAGCCAGCCUAGAGUAGCACUGGCAGGAAAGCUGUCUGCCAGAAAAGGGCAUUUUCAAAGUCACACAGCAUGAACGUCUUCUUGUCAAGACCCAUUACAAGAAAAAAGUAGUCUCUGCCCAGUGGGCUCUGUGUGGGAACCUGGUUGCCUCAAUUUGAGUGCUGAAUUCUUCAAAAGUUGGCUACAGUGUUGUGUGAUGAUUUGACUAAAGAAAACCCAUGCAACUCAGACCAGAGUUAUUGCUGAUGUCCUGCAAUGUGGUGUCAUACAGGUUAUCUGAUCUCAUAGGGGAGCUGGAGAUCUUGCUGGAGGCCUCCAUCCUGUGUUGUGGGCUGCAUCAUACAUUGGCACUGAUGGAGCUGAAAUUCCCUUUCCCUUUCCUGUCAACAUUUGGGAUAUAAGAGGAGAUACUCCUAGCACAGACACCACUAGUACUUUAAUUAUGCUAUAUUUUAUAACAAUUAUGCUCUGAUCUGCUGCUUUGAAAGAGAAAAGAAAAACAAAACAGCUUUAGGGACAGAAGGGGAAGGUUUCCCCAGUUUAUUCUUUAACAGUAUUAGAGUAGAAAGAAACACAGCUCUGCCAAAUGGGUUUAGAAAGCCAGAGGCUAUAUAGAACAUAGCAGGUGAUGGCAAAAUUCAGAAUCAAUCAUUUUUUGUAUUGUAUUUAGUACUGAAUUUCAUACAUUUAUAAUCAUCAUCUCUUCGGUACUAGCAUCUUGCCCAGUAUUGAUAUCCUGGCAGGUAUUAUAAAUUAAGCAUAAUAACCCCACUAUUCAAUGUCUACAGAAAACACAAAAUUAUUAAAA